GUGGGGAAUAUUGGACAAUGGGCGCAAGCCUGAUCCAGCCAUGCCGCGUGAGUGAUGAAGGCCUUAGGGUUGUAAAGCUCUUUUGUCCGGGAAGAUAAUGACUGUACCGGAAGAAUAAGCCCCGGCUAACUCCGUGCCAGCAGCCGCGGUAAUACGGAGGGGGCUAGCGUUGUUCGGAAUUACUGGGCGUAAAGCGCACGUAGGCGGACUGGAAAGUCAGGGGUGAAAUCCCGGGGCUCAACCCCGGAACUGCCUUUGAAACUCCCAGUCUUGAGGUCGAGAGAGGUGGGUGGAAUUCCGAGUGUAGAGGUGAAAUUCGUAGAUAUUCGGAGGAACACCAGUGGCGAAGGCGGCCCACUGGCUCGAUACUGACGCUGAGGUGCGAAAGCGUGGGGAGCAAACAGGAUUAGAUACCCCAGUAGUCC
rnacentral:rRNA from 1 species